rnacentral:tRNA from 2 species
GGGAAUGAAUGGGUCCUGGUGGGCCCCGGGGACUUCAAAUCCUUCUGUCGGGCGCGUUUACCGUCCGAGGUGGGUUCGAUUCCCACACAUUCCCGCCA